rnacentral:rRNA from 1 species
UACGGAGGGUGCAAGCGUUAUCCGGAUUUACUGGGUUUAAAGGGUGCGUAGGUGGGUCUGUAAGUCAGUGGUGAAAUCUCCGAGCUUAACUCGGAAACUGCCAUUGAUACUAUAGAUCUUGAAUAUCCUGGAGGUGAGCGGAAUAUGUCAUGUAGCGGUGAAAUGCGUAGAUAUCGGGAGGAACACCAGUGGCGAAGGCGGCUUCCUGGCCUGCUCUUGACGCUGAGGCGCGAAAGCUAGGGUAGCAAACGGG